UACAGAGGGUGCAAGCGUUAAUCGGAAUUACUGGGCGUAAAGCGCGCGUAGGCGGCUUGGUCAGUCGAAUGUGAAAGCCCCGGGCUCAACCUGGGAAUUGCAUCCGAUACUGUCAGGCUAGAGUGUAGUAGAGGGAAGUGGAAUUCCGGGUGUAGCGGUGAAAUGCGUAGAUAUCCGGAGGAACAUCAGUGGCGAAGGCGACUUCCUGGACUAACACUGACGCUGAGGUGCGAAAGCGUGGGGAGCAAACAGGAUUAGAUACCCGCGUA
rnacentral:rRNA from 1 species